rnacentral:rRNA from 1 species
ACGGUCGGAUGAUGUGCGGAAGCGGCUUUCUGGACUGUAACUGACGUUGAGGCUCGAAAGUGUGGGUAGCAAACAGGAUUAGAUACCCUGGUAGUCCACACCGUAAACGAUGAGUGCUAGGUGUUUGAGGGUUUCCGCCCUUAAUUGCCGCAGCUAACGCAUUAAGCACUCCGCCUGGGGAGUACGACCGCAAGGUUGAAACUCAAAGGAAUUGACGGGGACCCGCACAAGCGGGGGAGCAUGUGGUUUAAUUCAAAGCAACGCGAAAAACCUUACCAGGUCUUGACUUCCCUUGACAACUCCAAAGAUGGAGCGUUCCCUUCGGGGACAAGGUGACAGGUGGUGCAUGGUUGUCGUCAGCUCGUGUCGUGAGAUGUUGGGUUAAGUCCCGCAACGAGCGCAACCCUUAUUACUAGUUGCCAGCAUUCAGUUGGGCACUCUAGUGAGACUGCCGGUGACAAACCGGAGGAAGGUGGGGAUGACGUCAAAUCAUCAUGCCCCUUAUGACCUGGGCUACACACGUGCUACAAUGGCGUAUACAACGAGUUGCCAACCCGCGAGGGUGAGCUAAUCUCUUAAAGUACGUCUCAGUUCGGAUUGUAAGCUGCAACUCGCCUACAUGAAGUCGGAAUCGCUAGUAAUCGCGGAUCAGCACGCCGCGGUGAAUACGUUCCCGGGUCGUGUACACACCGCCCGUCACACCAUGAGAGUUUGUAACACCCAAAGCCGGUGGCGUAACCUUCGGGAGCCAGCCGUCUACUGUGGGACUGAUGAUUGGGGUGAAGUCUCAGGGGGAACCC